GGGAUGGGGAUGCGUCCCAUUAGGAAGUUGGCGGGGCAACGGCCCACCAUCGUCGAUGGGUAGGGGUACUGAGAGGUAGGUCCCCCACACUGGAACUGAGACACGGUCCAGACUCCUACGGGAGCAGCAGUGAGGAAUAUUGGUCAAUGGGCGGAAGCCUGAACCAGCCAAGUAGCGUGGAGGAGGAAUGCCCUACGGGUUGUAAACUCCUUUUGCGGGAGGGUAACGUGCGGCACGCGUUGCUGCAGUGCAAGUAUCCCGCGAAUAAGCAUCGGCUAACUCCGUGCC
rnacentral:rRNA from 1 species